CAUGUGGGACUGUGGAUCAGUACCCGAGGAAAGAAAUCAACCGAGAUUCCCCCAGUAGCGGCGAGCGAACAGGGAGCAGCCCAGAGUCAACAUCAAUAUUUACCGCAGGAGAAAGAUCUGGAAAGGCCGGCAAUAAAGGGUGAUAGCCCCGUAUCUGAAGCGGUAAGUGUUGUGAACUCGAAGAGUAAGGCGGGACACGUGUUAUCCUGUCUGAAUAUGGGGGGACCAUCCUCCAAGGCUAAAUACUCCUGACUGACCGAUAGUGAACCAGUACCGUGAGGGAAAGGCGAAAAGAACCCCGGCGAGGGGAGUGAAAUAGAACCUGAAACCGUGUACGUACAAGCAGUAGGAGCACCCGAAAAGGUGUGACUGCGUACCUUUUGUAUAAUGGGUCAGCGACUUAUAUUCUGUAGCAAGGUUAACCGCAUAGGGGAGCCGUAGGGAAACCGAGUCUUAACUGGGCGUUAAGUUGCAGGGUAUAGACCCGAAACCCGGUGAUCUAGCCAUGGGCAGGUUGAAGGUUGGGUAACACUAAUGGGGAGGACAACA
rnacentral:rRNA from 1 species